rnacentral:rRNA from 1 species
GUUAAGCGACUAAGCGUACACGGUGGAUGCCCUGGCAGUCAGAGGCGAUGAAGGGCGUGCUAAUCUGCGAUAAGCGCCGGUAAGGUGAUAUGAACCGUUAUAACCGGCGAUACCCGAAUGGGGAAACCCAGUGUGACUCGUCACACUAUCAUUAACUGAAUCCAUAGGUUAAUGAGGCGAACCGGGGGAACUGAAACAUCUAAGUACCCCGAGGAAAAGAAAUCAACCGAGAUUCCCCCAGUAGCGGCGAGCGAACGGGGAGGAGCCCAGAGCCUGAAUCAGCAUGUGUGUUAGUGGAAGCGUCUGGAAAGGCGCGCGAUACAGGGUGACAG